UACAGAGGUCUCAAGCGUUGUUCGGAUUCAUUGGGCGUAAAGGGUGCGUAGGCGGCGCGGUAAGUCGGGUGUGAAAUCUCGGAGCUUAACUUCGAAACUGCAUUCGAUACUGCCGUGCUUGAGGACUGGAGAGGAGACUGGAAUUUACGGUGUAGCGGUGAAAUGCGUAGAUAUCGUAAGGAAGACCAGUGGCGAAGGCGGGUCUCUGGACAGUUCCUGACGCUGAGGCACGAAAGGCCCAGGGGGAGCAAAACGGGG
rnacentral:rRNA from 1 species